AGCGCGAGUUUCUCUUCAUUGUCGCAUAAUCUUUCGACUUUUACUAAAGAUUUCGUGAGGGGAAGCUUUGCGAGGACCUGUAUUUUUGGGGGCUAUGCUCACAGCAGAGCU